GUGCUCGUGGCUCAACGGAUAGAGCGCUGGACUCCGGAUCCAGAGAUUGUGGGUUCAAAUCCCACCGAGCACGCCA
rnacentral:tRNA from 6 species